GAGUAAUGUCUGGGAAACUGCCUGAUGGAGGGGGAUAACUACUGGAAACGGUAGCUAAUACCGCAUAACGUCGCAAGACCAAAGAGGGGGACCUUCGGGCCUCUUGCCAUCGGAUGUGCCCAGAUGGGAUUAGCUAGUAGGUGGGGUAAAGGCUCACCUAGGCGACGAUCCCUAGCUGGUCUGAGAGGAUGACCAGCCACACUGGAACUGAGACACGGUCCAGACUCCUACGGGAGGCAGCAGUGGGGAAUAUUGCACAAUGGGCGCAAGCCUGAUGCAGCCAUGCCGCGUGUAUGAAGAAGGCCUUCGGGUUGUAAAGUAC
rnacentral:rRNA from 1 species